ACUCCUACGGGGCGCAGCAGUAGGGAAUCUUCCACAAUGGACGAAAGUCUGAUGGAGCAACGCCGCGUGAGUGAAGAAGGGUUUCGGCUCGUAAAGCUCUGUUGGUAGUGAAGAAAGAUAGAGGUAGUAACUGGCCUUUAUUUGACGGUAAUUACUUAGAAAGUCACGGCUAACUACGUGCCAGCAGCCGCGGUAAUACGUAGGUGGCAAGCGUUUUCCGGAUUUAUUGGGCGUAAAGCGAGUGCAGGCGGUUCAAUUAGUCUGAUGUGAAAGACUUCGGCUCAACCGGGGAAUUGCAUC
rnacentral:rRNA from 1 species